CUCAAAUUUAACAAUAGUACACAAAUGCGGUUCUAAGUGUUAACAUAGGUUAUUCGAAUGUUUAAUAAUGAUGUGAUAACAACAAAUAUAUUAAGAACAACGAAUGUGUUUUUGACGUAGUCAAUACACGAUUCUAUUUCAUGAUUCAUUUGUGGUCGUUUCAUUUAUUAUAAUAAGUUAUUAAUAAGUUAAGUUGUUAAGUUAAUAAUAAGUUUCAAAUAAUGGCUGAAAAGGAAAGUGAUAGUACGACAAGUGAGGUUAUAAAAACUGAAGAAUUAACUGAUAACACAACAAAUGAGGAAGCACCAACAAGUUUGGAAAAUAUAUCACAGGAUACUAAUACUAGUAGAAACGAUAGUCCCCCAGUUGCUUCAAAAGAUAAAGAAAGAGUUACAGUUGAUAUUUUAUUGAAAGCAACUGGCAAUGCACCUAUCAUGAAACAAAAAAAAUGGUCUGUUAAUCAGGAUUAUCAAAUUGGAAAGUUUCUUUAUGUAAAUCAAACUUUUGCACCAGCACCAGAUCAAACGUUAAAAAACUUAUACGAUUGCUAUGGAGCUGAUGGAAAAUUGAUCAUUCAUUAUUGCAAAAGUCCAGCGUGGGGUUAAUCGUAAACUUCCUGUUUGAUGUUUGAGCAUCAUGUUGUAUCAUUUUAUUACGGAGACGCACGGCGUUGGCUAGACGAUGAUACGGAGUUCGUCGUUUCAAUUGCCUUUGCCGGGCUACAUUUAGAACUAAGCAAUGAUCUUUUUUCCAUCUUAUUCGCGCAACGACAAACAUUAGAGGAUACUUCAGUUUUCACAGUUCUUACCUGAAAUACAAAAUAUUUAUUAAGUCGUAUACUAAGAGAACAUAAUCAAUGUUAUUUUUACAUAAAAUCAAAUUUAGCAUUUUAAUUAGAAUUUAAUUGUACCAACCGAUAUUGUGUCUUUGUCUUUGAUGCACGUGCAAACUGGGGAAGGUAUACCAGCUGGAUCGCGCGUACAUAGCUGUGGCUGAUCAUCACCUAUGAUAUAUUUAUAUUAAAUUUAAUAGAAUUACUUUAUUUAUCGGAAUACGUUGAAUCGUAUGAAUAAUAAUGUUAAUUUUGUUAUUACCAUUGUACAUAGUUCUAACACUUUCAGCAGUCUCAUCCACACGGCUCAUAGCAGAAACAUGUUCUUUCUCUAAAUUUUCCAACUUUAAAUUGUCGUCGCGUUUCCCUUCAGAUUUCUUUAAUGACUUAACGGUAUGUGCAGUCUCAGAUUUCGAUUUGGUGGAUGGUGUUUUAAGAGACGUCUUAAAUGGAAACUUCCAAAUAAUGAUAGCGCCAUCGGCGCUAACGGAUACCACAUGUUCCCCAUCUGGACUAAAUUUACACGCAGUUAUUAUCGCGGCAUGACCUAUGCCAAUGUGUGUGACAUUGGCUGUGUGAUAUUCCCAGAGCUUAACAAUACAAUCGUUUGAACCAGUGACGAAGUAUUGUCCAUCAAGAUUAAUGUCUAUGCAAUUUAAUGAUCCUGAGGUGGAACCUUCUACUUCACGAACCAACGAACCAUCCCAUGUUUCCCAGUAUGCAAUCUUACGAUCAGUACCACAAGUCAAGAUUUGUAUGCUGUUGGGACUGAAGCAUGCAGCCAUAUACAUCGUGUUACCUAUUAAAACUUGCUUUCUCGAGCAACGUCUGUUUGAUUAAUAUUUAUUGUCCAUCAAUUUAUCACAUCCCAAAAAAUAAAUAAUAUUGUAAAUAGUUAAAAAUUGAUACUUGCAUUAUGUCCCAUAUUACGCAUGAACCAUCCGUGCUAGAACUAAUCAAGUCCUCGUUAUUGGAGGAUAUACACAAAGAUGUUAUGGGUCCUCUGUGUUCUUUUAAAAUUGAGACCAAUCGUUGUACAUCGGGUUUUAUGUCCCAUAUACGCACCUAUAGACAAUAUUAAAGAAAGAAGAUGAAAAUGAUAUAAGAGGAUAAUAAAUGUGUAAAAUAAUAAUUACCUGCCCAUCGCAGCCACCGCUGAUUAAUCUUUUCCCGUCUGCUGUUAUCGCAACUGCCGAUGCUGCUUUUAUAUGAGCGUUGUGAAUAGUAAAAAUAAGUUUACCCUUUUGUGGUGUGAACGCUCUUACAAUACCAUCGUUCCACGCUGAAUAAAUUUAAUAAAUAGAA
rnacentral:misc_RNA from 1 species